rnacentral:rRNA from 1 species
GAUGAACGCUGGCGGCGUGCCUAAUACAUGCAAGUCGAGCGAACGGACGAGAAGCUUGCUUUUCUGACGUUAGCGGCGGACGGGUGAGUAACACGUGGAUAACCUACCUAUAAGACUGGGAUAACUUCGGGAAACCGGAGCUAAUACCGGAUAAUAUUUUGAACCGCAUGGUUCAAUAGUGAAAGACGGUCUUGCUGUCACUUAUAGAUGGAUCCGCGCUGCAUUAGCUAGUUGGUAAGGUAACGGCUUACCAAGGCUACGAUGCAUAGCCGACCUGAGAGGGGGAUCGGCCACACUGGAACUGAGACACGGUCCAGACUCCUACGGGAGGCAGCAGUAGGGAAUCUUCCGCAAUGGGCGAAAGCCUGACGGAGCAACGCCGCGUGAGUGAUGAAGGUCUUCGGAUCGUAAAACUCUGUUAUUAGGGAAGAACAUAUGUGUAAGUAACUGUGCACAUCUUGACGGUACCUAAUCAGAAAGCCACGGCUAACUACGUG